rnacentral:rRNA from 1 species
GACGUAGGGUGCGAGCGUUAAUCGGAAUUACUGGGCGUAAAGCGUGCGCAGGCGGUUCGUCGUGUCUGAUGUGAAAGCCCCGGGCUCAACCUGGGAAUGGCAUUGGAAACUGGCGGACUAGAGUGUGGCAGAGGGGGGUGGAAUUCCGCGUGUAGCAGUGAAAUGCGUAGAGAUGCGGAGGAACACCGAUGGCGAAGGCAGCCCCCUGGGCUAACACUGACGCUCAGGCACGAAAGCGUGGGGAGCAAACAGG